UUCUUCCCCCUCCGGGGGGGAGGGGAGCCCUGCGGCCCCCCCAACUCUACCUAGGCCAGAGUUAGAAACAACAUUUAGAGUGAGUGUUUAUGAGGGAUGCGACUCACAGCACCUGAGGGAGAAGAAUCCCAGGCGAAAUUGGAGACGGGCCAAAAGAGCUCGGGAGUUGCCCUGCCGAAGCUGACCGAGGGCAGCCAAAAACUGAUUUGGAGGAAUGAAGAUUCCAAACGCCUUCUGUGAUAAGCUACACUACAGCAACAGCGAACCGAGGUAUGAGACUGAGAGAGAGAGAAUGACACAGCAGAGACUGACAUGGGACCGAGGAGAAAGGACUCAAAGCUACCUUCUUGGACUUCGUGAGGAGAAAGGACUUCAGCAACCAGCUGGAGAUCACAAGAGUUGGAUGUCUCUACUAGCAUCUCACACAACUAUAAAAUCUUUGAGUUCACGUGAGCAACAUCUUGCACCUGCUGAAUUUCAUGGAUGGCUUCUCGUGUGUCCUUUGAGGGUUUGCCCAAGGCCAAAAUGUGGCCAAAACAGCCUCUCUGUAUAUAUCUUGUUUCUAGAUUGGGUUCUGGCAUCCUCUACUUAACCAGACUGUUCCUUUGCUUUAAAAGAGUGUUUCCUUCUGUGGGACUACACAGGGAGGAAAUUACUGUUUGGGCAGAACUUGACUAGAGAGCUGUGCAUUUACAGAAGUGUACAACCAGAAUGGACAUCAGCUAAUAUCUGCUUUAUGGUAGGUGCACACUGGCAAACUUUGCACCACUAGCAUCCUAAAAAUUAAAUUAUUCUGUGGACUUUUUUUUCUUUUUUUUUUUUUUUUUACAUAUGCAUAGAGCCCGAAUUUCCUUGUAAGGAGACAGGUAAACCUUGAAAUUAACUAGUUGAGAUCUUUACUGUCCACCUACCAAUUUUUUAGUAUUCUUUCUUGUUGCCUGUCAUCAGAUAUUUAUGUCUUAUUAAUUGUUACAAAGUUUUCAAAAGGCUAUAGUUGUAGGAAAUCACAUUUUAAGUAUGUUGUCAUGAAGCCUAUAACAUGUAAGGUUUCUUCCCAGCAGAUCCUGCUAAAUGAAUGUGGGGGGUUUUAUUAAAGGAUUAUAGAACUCCAAA